AUGGCCUGGGCUCUGGUCCUCCUCACUCUUCUCACUCAGGAAACAGGGUCUUGGGCCCAAUCUUCCCUGAGUCAGCCAUCUUCAGUGUCUGGGGCUCUGGGACAGACAGUUGCCAUCUCUUGUGUUGGAACCAGCAGUGACAUUGGGAGGUAUAAUUAUGUCUCCUGGUAUCAACAGCUCCCAGGAAUGUCCCUCAAACUCCUGAUUUAUGAUGUCAGUUAUCGGCCAUCAGGGAUCCCUGAUCGCUUCUCUGGCUCCAAGUCUGGCAACACAGCCUCCCUGAUCAUCUCUAGGCUCCAGGCUGAAGAUGAGGCUGAUUAUUACUGUACCUCAUAUAUAGGAUCCUCAAGAGGUAUAGUCAUGUUCAUAGGAGGGUAG